GAGUGGGGAGGAGAGAGGGACAGAGAGCCUGCUUGCUUUAAAGGAACCAACUGGACAGGAGCCGCUUAUUCCUUAAAAGAAGGAGCUUUGCUCCUUUAAAGAAGCAGGCUCUCUGUCCCUCUCUCCUCCCCACUCA